AAGAACAAGGGAGCUGAUGUCAGGUCUCAGUUCAGAAGUUGAGAGGUGGAACCAGACUCUGCUUCCCCCAUGCCUGCACCUGAGCAGCACCCCAUCACCAGACAAAAGCACACAACUGACUUUAUUUCAUUUUACAAGUACAACAAUAUGUCUCCUUUGGACACUCAACCCUGCUUGACAGUCUUAUUAUAAUUCCCCAGCACAGUCAUCUGGUCACUUUCUAAAACAACCAUUCACUCCUUCUCUUGUCUGGUUUCUGAUCGUGCCAACGAUCAAAGGAAGGAUGAAGGACGAUUAAACACAUCCUUACUUUAUUCCAUUUCUGUGUGAAGACCUGUAUGAACAGGAAAAUUAUUUUAGGAUAAGUACCUGUGCAAAAAAAAAGUCAACAUUUUUUUUGUGACUGAGGAAGCUGUCAUAGAUAAGUGAGUUGUCUCUGAAAUAUGUAAAACCUUUUUCAUAUGUAAAUAAAGUAAAACCUGGCAGCUUAGCCAUCUGUGGGAGUGUGAGAGCUCUUGAAAAAUGACUCAUUCAGUUAGGCAUAGAUGUGAAACCAUAUUUGAGUGUAAAAACUACACUUUUACAGAGCUACAGAGCUAAGAAUGCUGGAGAUCACCACACAUUCCUGCCAACAUAGUAUGUUUGCUUCUUCCAUCCUUUUUGGUUCUUUGGAUAGUCUAGUAAUCAAAUUAAUAUAGGACAGAUUAACAGAAGGAAAAUAAAUUUAAUUGCACACAUACAGGAUGCCCAUGAGAAGAUUAGACCCGAGGACAAUUGAAGCUUAAAUGCCAUCUUACACGAGGGGAUGAGAUAAGGGCCUGGAGUUUCAAAAAGAAGGAGGGUGAUUCACAGGAUAAUAAAAGGAGCAGAUGUUUGGUAAUUAGAUGUUUGUCCUGCCACACAGAUAGGUCAUGUAGAUGCAAAAGUUAUCUCUUGGUAAUAGCUCUCUUUCUCAAAUUCUUGUAGGUAGUUUAAGGGAGAGGUAAAGAUUUUUCUUGAGUCUGCUGGGUCUUGAUUGCCUUCAGCUCAAAAUAGCCCACAUGCCAAAGUGGCACACUUUGGGGAGAUGUUCUGAAAUAGUUCAGAUGUUGAGAAUAGAUGUGGGGUCAUUAAAAACAUUAACAAAUACUACAGAAGUGAGAACACUACAGGUAAUGAGUACUGACUUUUGCAAAUGGUCUGAUUUAGUAUGUAGAAUUGAAUAUUGAAGGGCCUAUAGAGAUCAUUUAGUUGAAUGCCAUUAAGAAUCUGAGACCAGCGAGAUUGAGUAAGUUGCCAACAGGACAUAGAGAGUGUGGGGCACAGCCAAGAUCAGACACACAGGCUAGUGACACCCAAUCUUCACCACUGUCUUCCGGCUGUCGUAGCUCCUUUACUGCUGAGAAAAAUCCUCUACCGAUUUUAGUGUAUUUCUAUUGCAUGUAAGCCUAAAAAAACCAUCCCGUGUAGGCUCAGGAAUUUAUUAUCAACUUGUGUGUUCCAGAUUACAUAUUCAAGCUUUUCUUACACAGAAAAUUGACAUCUCGAUAGUUUUCAUAAUAAGGUAUUUAAGAUAUUUUUCACGAGGUAAGAUAUGUAAGGCAAAUCACAAGGCUAUGUCUUUUAGAAUUAUCUUUUCACAUGGCAAUUUUUCAAAAGUGCAGUUUUGGUCAUUGUUUUAUGUAACUCACCUCUGAAGGAGUAAUCAAAAUCUCCAAAUCUGUGUUAAAGUGGAAAUCCUCCAUGGCUGCCCUCAUUUGAGGGAGGCAACUUUACUUGAUGUCUUACCUUCGUUCCCCCUCUACCCCCCAAAACUAAAGGACAUCAUUCCUAGGAAAGGUUGAUACCCUUCUGGUCAUUAAUUGGAGAAUCAGUUGUCUUUCUGGCAAACAGAGAAAUCUAUUUGAAAUU